CUUCAGACUCCCUUACCAUGCUACAGAAAAUCUAGGAAACUGGUGUGUCGGCUGGAGAAUCUUCUCGGGCAGCCAAGGGAGGCUUUUGUCGAAGCCGAAAAGGCUAACAUUGGCGAAGGCAUUCUGUUUGAAAAAAAAAAAAAACACUUUCGGAUCGGCUGCACAAUCACUGCCAUGGGCUGCCGAAAAAAUUCGCCCGAAACCUGGUGCGACACCUCUUUACUGAAGAGGAGCUCAAAGGGAAGAGUUUGUAUGGAAGGGGCUGCAACAAACACAAAGAGGUCCCGAUGAAGGAGGCCCUUGAUCUGGUGUGGUUAAAUGCAGUUAUUGGGUACGCAUGUAGCAAUUACACAACA